rnacentral:rRNA from 1 species
UACAGAGGGUGCGAGCGUUAAUCGGAAUUACUGGGCGUAAAGGGCGCGUAGGUUGUUGAAACAGUUGAGUGUGAAAAGCUUGGGCUUAACCUGAGUCUGUCAUUCAAUACUUUUCGACUAGAGUGCAGUAGAGGAUAGCGGAAUUUCCGGUGUAGCAGUGAAAUGCGUAGAUAUCGGAAGGAACACCAGUGGCGAAGGCGGCUAUCUGGACUGAGACUGACACUGAGGCGCGAAAGCGUGGGUAGCGAACAGG